rnacentral:rRNA from 1 species
UACGAAGGGGGCUAGCGUUGUUCGGAAUUACUGGGCGUAAAGGGCGCGUAGGCGGACAGUUUAGUCGGGGGGUGAAAGCCCUGGGCUCAACCUGGGAAUUGCAUUGGAUACUGGCAGGCUAGAGUGCGGUAGAGGAUGGCGGAAUUCCCGGUGUAGCAGUGAAAUGCGUAGAGAUCGGGAGGAACAUCUGUGGCGAAGGCGGCCAUCUGGACCAGCACUGACACUGGAGGCACGAAAGCGUGGGGAGCAAACAGG